rnacentral:lncRNA from 1 species
CCGACUUCAAAAGUAUUGUAAAGGUGGGAGUUAAUUUUGGGUAAUAGGGUAGGCUUGAAAGAAAAUAAAGAUAAUUGAAGUGUGGCUGAAAACGUUUGGUAAAACAAAAAUUUAAACUCGGGCAACAUAAACACUUUCAAGCUAGCUUCUUUUUUUAACCUCUUUUUUUCUUUUUUUUUCUUUGUAUUUUCAAACUUGAAUUGCAAUAUGCUGAUUUCUUUUUUUCACAAAUUUUUUUUCACAAAUUUUUUUAUAUUUCAUUCCUGAGAGCUUCUAAAAUGUGGAUACUUACUUAAUUUGGCUAAUACCAAAUGAUGCGAUAUCGUAUUUGUUGGUUGAAUCAAAUCGGUUGUUUCCCGAUUGUAAAAUUAAGUAGUAAUGGUUUCGUUUAAUAAAAAGGGCUAUUUCAAAG